rnacentral:miRNA from 1 species
GGGUGAGGGUGAGGGCAGGUGGUUCUUCCCAAAGCAGCUCUCGCCUCUUCAUC